rnacentral:rRNA from 1 species
AUUGAACGCUGGCGGCAGGCCUAACACAUGCAAGUCGAGCGAGCGGCGGACGGGUGAGUAAUGUCUGGGAAACUGCCUGAUGGAGGGGGAUAACUACUGGAAACGGUAGCUAAUACCGCAUACCAUCAGAUGUGCCCAGAUGGGAUUAGCUAGAAGGUGGGGUAACGCCUCACCUAGGCGACGAUCCCUAGCUGGUCUGAGAGGAUGACCAGCCACACUGGAAAUAAGACUGAGGCCGGACUCCUAGGUGAGGCAGCAGUGGGGAAUAUUGCACAAGGGGCGAAAGCCUGAUGCAGCCAUGCCGCGGAAGAAAAGAAGGCCUUCGGGUUGUAAAGCACUUUCAGCGGGGAGGCGUUACCCGCAGAAGAAGCACCGGCUAACUCCGUGCCAGCAGCCGCGGUAAUUC